rnacentral:lncRNA from 1 species
GUCCCUAUCGUCAGGGUCCCAUAACCGGUGGGCGUGCUGCCCACGAGAGGGCUGCUGUCUGCGCUCAUGCCGGCUCCUCGCGCUCAUCGCCGGCCCCGGCGCUGCGGCCCUCGGCCUGGGCCCCGGCGUGCGCAAGGCCCUGGGCGGGGGCGCGGUCCGGACGGCCCGGGGCGAGGGGCGCUGGGCUAGCGCGGGGCUGGAGCAGGGCUGACGCGGGCGGGGCACCUGGGCCACCAGGCUCGGCGCGGCUCCGACACUGCCGCAGUCCCUCC